rnacentral:rRNA from 1 species
GCAUAUCAAUAAGCGGAGGAAAAGAAAAUAACAAUGAUUCCCCUAGUAACUGCGAGUGGAGAGGGACAAGCUCAAAUUUUAAAUCUGUCGGGUUCUACCUGACCGAGUUGUAAUUUGAAGAGGCGUUUUCUGUGUUUCUGAUCAGUCCAAGUCCUUUGGGAUAAGGCAUCACGGAGGGUGAGAAUCCCGUUCGGUUGAUCAGAUUCGCUUUACGAUACGUCAUCAAAGAGUCAAGUUGUUUGGGAUUGCAGCUUAAAAUGGGAGGUAAAUUUCUCCUAAGGCUAAAUAACGGCGAGAGACCGAUAGCGAACAAGUACCGUGAGGGAAAGAUGAAAAGAACUUUGAAAAGAGAGUUAAAUAGUACGUGAAAUUGUUGAAAGGGAAACGAUUGAAGCCAGUCGUACCUGCGGGUAAUCAGCCUUUUGGGCAUGAUUCUGUGGAGCGUGAGGAGUUAAACGCCUUCAUGCCUGCAUAUUCGUGUACUUUGGGUGUACUUGCCUGUGUGGUUAGUUAACAUCAAUUUUGGUUAUCAUAAAAUGGCUGGAGGAAUGUAGCUUCGAUUUCGAUUGAAGUGUUAUAGCCUUCGGCAGAUGUGAUGAUCGGGAUUGAGGAUUGCAACGGAUACCCUUCGGGGCUACCUGUCUGAUCUCUGAUCGUUGCUCUGGUGCCGAAAGCGUGCUUACGGUUAUCAAAGUCGAUGGUUAAUAGGUUAGAACGGGUUAAAUUCGUUAAGGAUGUUGACGUA